UACGUAGGGGGCAAGCGUUGUCCGGAUUUAUUGGGCGUAAAGAGCGUGUAGGCGGCUUGACAAGUCUGCUGUGAAAACUCGAGGCUCAACCUCGAGCUGUCGGUGGAAACUGUCUGGCUAGAGUCCGGAAGAGGAGAGUGGAAUUCCUGGUGUAGCGGUGAAAUGCGCAGAUAUCAGGAAGAACACCUAGUGGCGAAGGCAGACUCGUCGCGGA
rnacentral:rRNA from 1 species